ACCUAAUCAUCAUUGUCUAAAUGUCUUUUUUUCCCUCUUUCUUUUUGUCUCCUUGCAGCUCAGAUCGACUUAUUGAUGACACGAUAAGCAUUGCCAUGGCAACCAAGGAGAACAUGACCUCCCAGAGAGGGUGGUUGAAGUCUAUACAGAGCCGUGUCAACACCCUGGCCAAUCGUUUCCCUGCAAUCAAUAACCUAAUACAGCGGAUCAACUUGAGGAAGAGGCGGGACUCAUUAAUUCUGGGUGGAGUCAUUGGCAUCUGCACCAUCCUUCUGCUGCUUUAUGCAUUUCACUGACAAAUAGGGGAGCUAACCGACUACUUUUAGGGGGGUGUUCUGCAAAGAGGUGGCAAAGCCUUGAGGAAAGGCUCAAUGAGAGGUGGACUAUUGGGGCCCACAAAGCUGAAGCCCGCAUGGCCUAGUCUGGAAACAAGAUUGAUUGUGGCCAACAUGGACAUUAUUUGUAAUUAGCAUCAGAAGGGUUUUAGCUCUAAGAGCCUUUUUUUUGUUUCUGUACUACAAACAAUGCGCUGUUCAGAUGUGAACUGGGUCUGGAGGCCAAAUUACUAACAGGAAUUGAUUUCAAAGAGCAUAUAAUAGCACAUUGGCUUUGAGAAAAGAGCAAUUCUGUGAAGCAUCAACAUGGAGUUGUGGUGUUCCUGUAUAUUAUUAAUCGGAAGAGGGUUUUAAUUUGAUGAUCCUUUUAGUAAGAGGGUUUCUCAUCAUGCUGUGUACUUUGUGAAUUAAUAAAUUAUUCAUAUACAGAAUAUUAAAAAUGUGUGUGAAACAUUAGAGGUCCGUACUCUAAAGCUUCUAUUUUUUAGAUAUUUCUAAACUCUCUAACCAAUGACGUAUUGCUCUGCACGGAGUGUUGGAAAAUAAGAGCCCAACAAUAAAAUGGUUCCAUUGCAGCUCAUGUGAUGUCUAACCAUUCUCUUUCAA